rnacentral:rRNA from 1 species
AUGAAACUGAAGGUCCAGUUUCCAGUGAACAUAGAAGCAAUAUUUUCCAGACCGCAUAGAAAGGCACUCCGCAAUGCAACUCAUCACAGCCUCAUGGGUAUGGAUACAUGGCCAAACCACCAAGUGGUUCCGAAAAGGAUUAAAUCACAAUUUGAAGAGCAAGCACGUGGUACAGCAGAAAUCCAAAAGGUAAACUCUAAGCUCAGCCAUCAUGUCACCAAAUUACAAGAUCAAUUACAAGCUGAACAUGAAAGCACACAAGAGAGGAUUAACUUGGAGCGUGCUGAGAGAAAACCUUGA